rnacentral:rRNA from 1 species
UACGUAGGGGGCGAGCGUUGUCCGGAUUUAUUGGGCGUAAAGAGCUCGUAGGCGGUCUGUUACGUCCGCUGUGAAAACCCAGGGCUUAACCCUGGGCUUGCAGUGGAUACGGGUAGACUAGAGGCAGGUAGGGGAGAAUGGAAUUCCCGGUGUAGCGGUGAAAUGCGCAGAUAUCGGGAGGAACACCGGUGGCGAAGGCGGUUCUCUGGGCCUGACCUGACGCUGAGGAGCGAAAGCGUGGGGAGCGAACAGG